rnacentral:rRNA from 1 species
AUGGAUCGGCACUCGGAGCGUCUGCUUCUCCUGCGCGUGUACGCGUUCCUCAAGUCGAGGAAACUCAACCGCGCGGCGAACGCGCUGGAGCAGGAGGCGCGGCUCCGGUUCGACUGGCCCCGCGUGCACCUCAUGAUCCGGGCCGGGCGGUGGCGGUCGGCGGAAGAGUACACGUCGGCGUUCCUGGACGGCGGCAGGGCCAGCACGCCGGAGGCCUGCGCCACCCUGUUCCUCCUCCGGUUCCAGCGCUUCGUGCGCGCGCUCAAGCGCGGCGACGAGGCGUGGGCGGAGCGGUACCUGGCGCGCCGCAUCCUGCCCGUCCUGCAUGCCCACCCCGACAGAGACGCCGCCGCGGCCAGAUGCGCCGCCGUGCUGCGCGACAGGCGCGCCCUCGACGCGCAGCGUGACGAUGCCGAAGCGCGGCGCGCCUGCAACCACGAGUUCCUCGGCCUCAUAUUCCAGAACGAUGGGUUCUUGAUCCUCACCGACGACGACACCGAGCUAAAGCGCCUCGAGCGGGCGGCCUCCCUUGGUCUCCGACGAUACGCACGCCCGCGCCGCGGCCGACCUAGGGCUAGGAGGGGUUGA